AAGACCUUGCGCUUUUGGAGCGGCCGAUGCCUGAUUAGCUAGUUGGUGAGGUAAUGGCUCACCAAGGCGUCGAUCAGUAGUUGGUCUGUGAGGACGACCAGCCACACUGGGACUGAGACACGGCCCAGACUCCUACGGGAGGCAGCAGUGGGGAAUUUUGGACAAUGGGCGCAAGCCUGAUCCAGCCAUGCCGCGUGAGUGAAAAAGGCCUUCGGGUUGUAAAGCUCUUUCAGUCGAGAAGAAAAAGUUACGACUAAUAAUCGUGAUCCAUGACGGUAUCGACAGAAGAAGCACCGGCUAACUACGUGCCAGCAGCCGCGGUAAUACGUAGGGUGCGAGCGUUAAUCGGAAUUACUGGGCGUAAAGGGUGCGCAGGCGGCUUUGUAAGUCAGAUGUGAAAUCCCCGGGCUUAACCUGGGAACU
rnacentral:rRNA from 1 species